rnacentral:lncRNA from 1 species
GUAUUUGGUUCUUUUUGACGUGUGUGUGAGUGUGUGUGUAUGUGUGUGUGUGUGUGUGUGUGUGUGUGUGUGUGUGUGUGUGAUGUGACACCAUAACCUGUGACACCCACAUGGAACUCUGUGCAAGCCUGUCUUCAGGGAGUGGCAUAGAUUGGGGAAUGGCAGGGUAGCAGCAGGAGGUCUGGCUUGGUCUUCUGAGUUCCUUGACAGAUGGUGUAAGGAUAAGCUGGCCAUCACCUGAAGCUCCUCUCAGACUUGAAGAGCAUCAUAGGAACAAGCCCAUGGACAUUUCCCUGAAGAUGAAGGACCAUAACACCCCAUACAGUCUUUCAUAGGCUGGUCCAUGAAUGAAGUUGCACAGACUAGUGAGAUAACCGUCUGGGCUGCAGCUUGAGGAUUUGGAGGAUCAUCUGACUACGAAAGGGAAUGUGCCAGAUAGCUAUCAAAGCUUCAAGUGAAGAAAGUCACAGCCUGGGAACAAACUUGCCAAACAGAACCUAACACCUCAAAGUAAAUCUUGUACAAAUGAUUAAGUGGCAUACUUCUG